rnacentral:rRNA from 1 species
UGCGUAGGUGGUUUCUUAAGUCAGAGGUGAAAGGCUACGGCUCAACCGUAGUAAGCCUUUGAAACUGGGAAACUUGAGUGCAGGAGAGGAGAGUGGAAUUCCUAGUGUAGCGGUGAAAUGCGUAGAUAUUAGGAGGGACACCAGUUGCGAAGGCGGCUCUCUGGACUGUAACUGACACUGAGGCACGAAAGACGUGGGGAGGCAAAACA